GGGGUAAUAGCUCAGUGGUAGAGCACAUGUUUAACAUGCAUGAGGUCCUGGGUUCCACCUCCAGGACCUCCA
rnacentral:tRNA from 1 species